rnacentral:misc_RNA from 1 species
AAAUGCGAUAAGUAAUGUGAAUUGCAGAAUUCAGUGAAUCAUCGAAUCUUUGAACGCACAUUGCGCCCGCCAGUAUUCUGGCGGGCAUGCCUGUUCGAGCGUCAUUUCAACCAUCAAGCCCCGGGCUUGUGUUGGGGACCUGCGGCUGCCGCAGGCCCUGAAAAGCAGUGGCGGGCUCGCUGUCACACCGAGCGUAGUAGCAUACAUCUCGCUCUGGGCGUGCUGCGGGUUCCGGCCGUUAAACCACCUACGUAACCCAAGGUUGACCUCGGAUCAGGUAGGAAGACCCGCUGAACUUAAGC